GUCCAUGUAAAAAGUGGAGGACAACACAGGAAGUGACGCAAAAGAAAGUGUCUUUAAAAGGAAUUACAACUUCCUGUGAGAGUCAGUUUUUCAUUAUUUGGAGUGGAUACUGGUGGAGAACCUGCUGACUGGACAUGAGACCUGUUCCUGAACAUAACAAAGAACGCUAAUAAGAAUUUGAUAUCCAAUAUACAUUGGAAGAAAAUAAGGAAGUAUCCUGCAGUCUGCAAGAAUUCAAGUCAACUAUUCAAGGCCCAGAUAAAAUUUAAUCCAGUUUAUCUGGAACAACUGACAGAUGUGAUUAGUUAGCAACUUCAUCACUUGUUACUGUCUUCUGGAGAGGCUUUAGAGUUUACAAAAUACAAACCUCACAAGAACCUGGAGAUAGGCAAUAACCAGUUUUCUCUUCAGUCUGUCCCAGCAAAGAGCCUCAUGAAGAACAUUCUCAUGAACCAAGUUAAUGCCUGAAAACAUUCAGAACUGAGAAAGAAGCUGACUUAGUUUUCAGGCCAAUUAGAAGAUAAAAACUCAGCUCCUCCAUUCUCAAACCUUAGCAGCAUCCUCCAAUCUCAUUGUCUCUGUGUGUGCCACAACAAAAGACACCCAGGAAAACCGUGACAGUCUGUUUCUCAACUGCCAAGGACAGAUAAAAUUGGAACUACAUAAAUGUGACUCUCUGCUGCCACCAAGUGACAGUGAACACCUGUCCACAGGAUGGGAGAGCAGUCCAGUGGGACAAGGAGAAAUUCUAUCCAAAAUACAGGAUAGUGAUCAUGGCCAGAUAUUAAGAGGAAAUGGAUCUCAUUUUUGUGACCUCCCUCCACUCAGUUGGAAGACUUGGAGAGAUUUAACAAAGUACAAAAGUCAACAAACAUCCAUUGAGGUAAAGUACAAUCACUAUGAACUGUGGUUUUUGGGCAAGGAAGAAAAAAUGAGAGAGAGAGAGAGAGAGAGAGAGAGAGAGAGAGAGAGAGAGAGAGAGAGAGAGAGAGAGAGAGAGAGAGAGAGACAGAGAGAGAGAGAGACAGAGAGAGAGAGAAAGAGAAAGAGAAAGAGAGAGACAGAGAGAGAGAGAAAGAGAAAGAGAGAGAGAGAGAGAGAGAAAGAGAAAGAGAGAGAGAGAGAGAGAGAGAGAGAGAGAGAGAGAGAGAGAGAGAGAGAGAGAGAGAGAGAGAGAGAGAGAGAGAGAGAGAGAGAGAGAGAGAAGGAAAUCCUUGAAUUGUAA
rnacentral:lncRNA from 1 species